rnacentral:rRNA from 3 species
GGCCACCGCUAUUGGGGUUCGGCUAAGCCAUGCGAGUGGAGGGCGCGUCGCAAGACGUGGCCCCGCACACGGCUCAGUAACACGUAGUCAACUUACCCUCGGGACGGGGACAACCUCGGGAAACUGAGGACAAUCCCCGAUAGGUGAGGGACGCUGGAAUGCCUCCUCGCCUAAAUCCCACGGGGCCCGAGGAUAGGACUGCGGCCUAUCAGGCUGUUGGUGGUGUAACGGACCACCAAACCUACAACGGGUACGGGCGAUGGGAGUCGGAGCCCGGAGAUGGGGACUGAGACAAGGCCCCAGGCCCUACGGGGCGCAGCAGGCGCGAAAACUCCGCAAUGCGCGAAAGCGUGACGGGGGAACCCCAAGUGCCGUUGGACUUUUCGUUCGACGGCUUUUAUGGAGUCUAGGAAGCUCCAGGAAUAAGGGCUGGGUAAGUCGGGUGCCAGCCGCCGCGGUAAUACCCGCAGCCCAAGUGGUGGUCGCGAUUAUUGGGCCUAAAGCGCUCGUAGCCGGGUUGGCAAGUCCCUUGUGAAAUCGGGCGGCUUAACCGUUCGGCUUGCAAGGGAUACUGCCAGUCUUGAGGCCGGGAGACGUCGAGGGUACUCUGAGGGUAGCGGUGAAAUGCUCUAAUCCUCGGGGGACCACCAGUGGCGAAGGCGCUUGACGAGAACGGACCUGACGGUGAGGGGCGAAGGCUAGGGGAGCGAACGGGAUUAGAUACCCCGGUAGUCCUAGCUGUAAAGUAUGCGGGCCAGGUGUCUGGUGUUCCUCGAGAGCACUAGGUGCCGGAGAGAAGUCGUUAAGCCCGCCGCCUGGGAAGUACGGUCGCAAGGCUGAAACUUAA